UACGUAGGGGGCAAGCGUUGUCCGGAUUUAUUGGGCGUAAAGAGCUCGUAGGUGGUUCGCUAAGUCGGAUGUGAAAUCUCCAGGCUCAACCUGGGGGGGUCAUUCGAUACUGCCGUGACUAGAGGUCGGUAGGGGAGUGUGGAAUUCCUGGUGGAGCGGUGAAAUGCGCAGAUAUCAGGAGGAACACCCGUAGCGAAGGCGGGUCUCCGGGCAAUAACUGACGCUGAGGAGCGAAAGCGUGGGGAGCGAACAGG
rnacentral:rRNA from 1 species